rnacentral:rRNA from 1 species
ACCCGCCUGCACGAAGCUGGAAUCGCUAGUAAUCGCGAAUCAGAAUGUCGCGGUGAAUACGUUCCCGGGUCUUGUACACACCGCCCGUCACACCAUGGGAGUCAGUAACGCCCGAAGUCAGUGACCGAACCGAAAGGACGGAGCUGCCGAAGGCGGGACGGAUAACUGGGGUGAAGUCGUAACAAGGUAUC